rnacentral:rRNA from 1 species
CAUGGCUCAGGACGAACGCUGGCGGCGUGCUUAACACAUGCAAGUCGAACGGAAAGGCCCUGCUUUUGUGGGGUGCUCGAGUGGCGAACGGGUGAGUAACACGUGAGUAACCUGCCCUUGACUUUGGGAUAACUUCAGGAAACUGGGGCUAAUACCGGAUAGGAGCUCCUGCUGCAUGGUGGGGGUUGGAAAGUUUCGGCGGUUGGGGAUGGACUCGCGGCUUAUCAGCUUGUUGGUGGGGUAGUGGCUUACCAAGGCUUUGACGGGUAGCCGGCCUGAGAGGGUGACCGGCCACAUUGGGACUGAGAUACGGCCCAGACUCCUACGGGAGGCAGCAGUGGGGAAUAUUGCACAAUGGGCGGAAGCCUGAUGCAGCAACGCCGCGUGCGGGAUGACGGCCUUCGGGUUGUAAACCGCUUUCGCCUGUGACGAAGCGUGAGUGACGGUAAUGGGUAAAGAAGCACCGGCUAACUACGUGCCAGCAGCCGCGGUGAUACGUAGGGUGCGAGCGUUGUCCGGAUUUAUUGGGCGUAAAGGGCUCGUAGGUGGUUGAUCGCGUCGGAAGUGUAAUCUUGGGGCUUAACCCUGAGCGUGCUUUCGAUACGGGUUGACUUGAGGAAGGUAGGGGAGAAUGGAAUUCCUGGUGGAGCGGUGGAAUGCGCAGAUAUCAGGAGGAACACCAGUGGCGAAGGCGGUUCUCUGGGCCUUUCCUGACGCUGAGGAGCGAAAGCGUGGGGAGCGAACAGGCUUAGAUACCCUGGUAGUCCACGCUGUAAACGGUGGGUACUAGGUGUGGGGUCCAUUCCACGGGUUCCGUGCCGUAGCUAACGCUUUAAGUACCCCGCCUGGGGAGUACGGCCGCAAGGCUAAAACUCAAAGGAAUUGACGGGGCCCCGCACAAGCGGCGGAGCAUGCGGAUUAAUUCGAUGCAACGCGUAGAACCUUACCUGGGUUUGACAUGGAUCGGGAGUGCUCAGAGAUGGGUGUGCCUCUUUUGGGGUCGGUUCACAGGUGGUGCAUGGCUGUCGUCAGCUCGUGUCGUGAGAUGUUGGGUUAAGUCCCGCAACGAGCGCAACCCUUGUUCACUGUUGCCAGCACGUUAUGGUGGGGACUCAGUGGAGACCGCCGGGGUCAACUCGGAGGAAGGUGGGGAUGACGUCAAGUCAUCAUGCCCCUUAUGUCCAGGGCUUCACGCAUGCUACAAUGGCUGGUACAGAGAGUGGCGAGCCUGUGAGGGUGAGCGAAUCUCGGAAAGCCGGUCUCAGUUCGGAUUGGGGUCUGCAACUCGACCUCAUGAAGUCGGAGUCGCUAGUAAUCGCAGAUCAGCAACGCUGCGGUGAAUACGUUCCCGGGGCUUGUACACACCGCCCGUCAAGUCAUGAAAGUUGGUAACACCCGAAGCCGGUGGCCUAACCGUUGUGGGGGAGCCGUCGAAGGUGGGACUGGUGAUUAGGACUAAGUCGUAACAAGGUAGCCGUACCGGAAGGUGCGGUUGG